UACGUAGGGCGCAAGCGUUGUCCGGAAUUAUUGGGCGUAAAGGGCUCGUAGGCGGUUUGUCACGUCGGAUGUGAAAGCCCAGGGCUUAACCCCGGGUCUGCAUUCGAUACGGGCAGACUGGAGUGUGGUAGGGGAGAUCGGAAUUCCUGGUGUAGCGGUGAAAUGCGCAGAUAUCAGGAGGAACACCGGUGGCGAAGGCGGAUCUCUGGGCCAUUACUGACGCUGAGGAGCGAAAGCGUGGGGAGCAAACAGG
rnacentral:rRNA from 1 species